UUCAAUGAAUGGGGGUCUGUUUUUUCAUCGCCCCCCAACACGGUUCCGAUUCGACAGCCAACUAUGGUUUGCAUGCCCUGCCGAUGGACCCUAGUACCCUACGAUACGGAAUAGUUGGUUGGAGUUUGUUGGUCCCCAGUGGUGCCAGUCUCCCUCGACUCCUAUGAAAAGGACACGGCAUCAUGAGGCCUCUGAUAGUGACCCCAGUUACUGCCCUGAUGACACAGACGGCUUCAUCAACAACGACAGACGCAGGAAGCCGUGUGUACCAUGUUCCACAACUUGGUUUCUUCCUGGGUUUCCAGGCUUCUCUCCUUCAGGCCAUUAAUCACUUUUCAUCCGAAUCCGAGCAUUGUCCAGGAUAUGGUCGUGUCCAGAUAACUUGGAGAUCACCCCGUCAGUGAGGGUUAUGCAACCUCGGCAUUCGAAAGCAUCAUAUUCGGUGCACUUCCAGAAGGUCUGUUACUCCUAUCUGUAGGGUGCAGCCUUCAUGCGACAGGAUAUUUUUUCCACAGGAUAAAUUCGGGUUCCAUUGCAGCUUGUUCUGACUUCCUCUAAGAAUAAUGAAUGCAAGAUCUUUUUAAGCAGAAUAUUUGGAUUAUUAGCAUAUGAACGACUUGCAAUUCGAUUGCUGGACUAUCAAAGCCAUCCAUCCAACCCAUGUAUUGUCCAUCCAACCCAUUUAUUGUCCAUCCAACCCAUUUAUUUAGAUCCGGCAGUUCAAAGAGGAUUGUUUCAAAGGUAAUAAAUUGGGCGUAGUUACUGUUUACUAGCAGCAUACAUUUGCAUUCAUUCUCUUAAAAUAGCCUUUACUCUUCUUGUGCAAUGUAUAGCCUACUGUACUUUCUGCCUGUCUUGACUGUCUGCCUGUCUGGACUGUCUGCCUGUCUUGACUGUCUGCCUGUC